GCCGGAGUGGCGGAAUUGGCAGACGCGCCAGGUUGAGGGCCUGGUUCCUGUAAUGGGAGUGCAGGUUCAAGUCCUGUCUCCGGCA
rnacentral:tRNA from 1 species